rnacentral:rRNA from 1 species
CUCCCCAUGAGAGUGGCGCACGGGUGCGUAACGCGUGAGCAACCUGCCCGUCCCAGGGGGAUAGCCCGUUGAAAGACGGAUUAACACCGCAUGACGUAGUUAACUGGCAUCAGUAUACUACCAAAUAUUUAUAGGGGACGGAUGGGCUCGCGUGACAUUAGCUGGUUGGAGAGGUAACGGCUCACCAAGGCGACGAUGUCUAGGGGCUCUGAGAGGAGAAUCCCCCACACUGGUACUGAGACACGGACCAGACUCCUACGGGAGGCAGCAGUAAGGAAUAUUGGUCAAUGGGCGGAAGCCUGAACCAGCCAUGCCGCGUGCAGGAAGACGGCCCUACGGGUUGUAAACUGCUUUUGUACGGGAAUAACCCCUAUUAUGUAUAAUAGGUUGAAUGUACCGUAAGAAUAAGGAUCGGCUAACUCCGUGCCAGCAGCCGCGGUAAUACGGAGGAUCCGAGCGUUAUCCGGAAUUAUUGGGUUUAAAGGGUGCGUAGGCGGCCCGGUAAGUCAGGGGUGAAAGACGGUGGCUCAACCAUCGCAGUGCCUUUGAUACUGCCGGGCUUGAAUAUACUUGAGGUGGGCGGAAUGUGACAAGUAGCGGUGAAAUGCAUAGAUAUGUCACAGAACGCCGAUUGCGAAGGCAGCUCACUAAGGUAAGAUUGACGCUGAGGCACGAAAGCGUGGGGAUCAAACAGGAUUAGAUACCCUGGUAGUCCACGCCCUAAACGAUGAACACUCGGUGCUGGCGAUAUACAGUCAGUGCCCAAGCGAAAGCGUUAAGUGUUCCACCUGGGGAGUACGCCCGCAAGGGUGAAACUCAAAGGAAUUGACGGGGGCCCGCACAAGCGGAGGAGCAUGUGGUUUAAUUCGAUGAUACGCGAGGAACCUUACCCGGGCUUGAAAGUUAGUGAAUAACUCAGAGAUGAGUUAGUCCUUCGGGACACGAAACUAGGUGCUGCAUGGCUGUCGUCAGCUCGUGCCGUGAGGUGUUGGGUUAAGUCCCGCAACGAGCGCAACCCCUGUGGAUAGUUGCCAGC